rnacentral:tRNA from 1 species
GGAGGUCAGUACCAAAACACCUGCUAAGCCUGUAGAAGCUCCCUUGCCGGGCUGUCCUCGGACGGGAGUUCGAUUCUCCCCGCCUCCACCA